rnacentral:pre_miRNA from 13 species
UCCUGGGCACAGUGAUGGUGUCAUGCACAGUGCUGGGAGAUGUUAUCACGUGCUAUCUCAUUCAGUGAUAUUGUCAUCCAGCACAGCACAUGUCCAUCAAGAGCCACGGG